rnacentral:rRNA from 1 species
CCUACGGGAGGCAGCAGUAGGGAAUCUUCCACAAUGGGCGCAAGCCUGAUGGAGCAACACCGCGUGAGUGAAGAAGGGUUUCGGCUCGUAAAGCUCUGUUGUUGGAGAAGAACGUGCGUGAGAGUAACUGUUCACGCCGUGCCGAUAUCCUACCAGAAAGUCACGGCUAACUACGUGCCAGCAGCCGCGAUAAUACGUAGGUGGCAAGCAUUAUCCGGUCUUAGUGGGCGUAAAGCGAGCGAAGGCGGUUGCUUAGGUCUGAUGUGAAAGCCUUCGGCUUAACCGAAGAAGUGCAUCGGAAACCGUGCGAAGUGAAUGCAGAAGAGGACAGUGGAACUAGAUGUGUAGGGGUGGAAUGCGUAGAUAUAUGGAAGAACACAAGUGGAGAAGGAGGCUGUCUAGUCUGCAACUGACGCUGAGGCUCGAAAGCAUGGGUAGCGAACAGGAUUAGAUACCACUGUAG